rnacentral:rRNA from 1 species
AUUGAACGCUGGCGGCAGGCCUAACACAUGCAAGUCGAGCGGAGCGGCGGACGGGUGAGUAAUGCCUAGGAAUCUGCCUGGUUGUGGGGGAUAACGUCCGGAAACGGGCGCUAAUACCGCAUCCUAUCAGAUGAGCCUAGGUCGGGUGAGCUAGUUGGUGGGGUAAAGGCCUACCAAGGCGACGAUCCGUAACUGGUCUGGGCGGAUGAUCAGUAACACUGGAACUGAGACACGGUCCAGACUCCGACGGGAGGCAGCAGUGGGGAAUAUUGGACAAUGGGCGCAAGCCUGAUCCAGCCAUGCCACGGGUGUGAAGAAGGUAUUCGGAUUGUAAAGCACUGUAAGUUGGGAGGCGUUACCAACAGAAUAAGCACCGGCUAACUUCGUGCCAGCCGCCGCGGUAAUUC